rnacentral:misc_RNA from 1 species
AACCUAGCACACCUGCGGUGUGUACCUGCGGAGGGAUCAUUACCGAGUUAUACAACUCAUCAACCCUGUGAACAUACCUAUAACGUUGCCUCGGCGGGAACAGACGGCCCCGUAACACGGGCCGCCCCCGCCAGAGGACCCCCUAACUCUGUUUCUAUAAUGUUUCUUCUGAGUAAACAAGCAAAUAAAUUAAAACUUUCAACAAUGGAUCU